UCAGUGGCAAAAGCAUUGAAAAUCUGUUCUCACAGAGAUGUGUAGAAACAAAGGAGAGUAAAACUCAAAAUGCAAGUAUGGUGAUUUUUGGAUUAUGUGAUUUUUUGUUUUCCCUUUAAAAAUAAUUCAUAGUUUACCACUGCCCGGUGACUUCAGAGAAAACCCUUUGUGGCCCUGUUUGGGAUCACAACCCAUGGGUUGGGAACCACUGAACUAGAAGAUAAUUUCCUACUUCAUGUUGCAUUCUAAUAGGUUUGUUGGCUGUUGAGUGAUUUCUUGCCAUAAUGGCACUCUGGUUGUUUCGAUAGCACCUCCUGAGAGUAAGAUGAUGAAGCACUCGACAUAUCUCUUAUUAUGAGUGAUUUCUAGAAAAAAAGUGGUUUGAUUUGCUGUCUCAGGCAGGAUAGCCUGUUCCUCUUCAAUAUAGAUCCCAGUUUGCAAGAAAGCUAUUGUAUAAAUAAAGUGUUGGAUGGGUAGGUGAGCUAUGGUGCCUCAACGUUCACUGUUUCAAGCUGGGGGGUAAUUGCCCAAUAGGAGAUUUGGCAGACUCAGGCUGUUCAAAUAGGAAGUGUCCAUGUGUUUCAUUUUGCUGUUGUGUUGCACAUUCCAGUGCUGCAGAUUUCAAUAAGGUUGUUGACUUUAUUAUUCUAUUAGUUAAGCAUGAUGCCUUUCCCCCCGAGAAGGAGGGCACUAGAUCAAAUGAAUUAUGGCAACUGGCUAAAUAUAGGGUGUGUGUGUGUGUGUGCAUGGUAUAAGAAAUUCAUGGGACAAAGGGAAAAUGAUUACUGUGAAAGGGAACACUGGGAGUAUAAAAAUAAUUCUGCACACAAAAAUAUGUAUUGUGUGUGUUACUUAAAUAAUUGAAAUAGUGAGACAGUGCAGCACUCAUGAGAUAACUUAAUGCAGAAACAUGAACAUGUGUAUGUGUAAAAUGUGCUGGAAGGAUAUCAUCAGUUCUUUCUUGACAAUGAACUUCAUACAACUGUAAGGGUUAACUUUAUAUAUGUGUAUUGCUUGGGCAGCUCCUACAGUAUAUGGAGAUUAAACUGUAUACCUCUGGCUAAAUUUAUCUAAAGGAAUAUUCCAAACCAAAAAUUGUGGAGUGAGCAUCAAAAAGGCUGUUGUGCUUUGGGGAUGUCAAGAGAUAACACGAUUCUUUGGAAAAGGCAAUGAUGCUUGGUAAUGUAGACAGAAAUUGGAAAAGAGAAAGUCUGUAUUACAGAUGGAUUUAUUAAAUCAAGGAAGCCACAGACCUCAGUUGAUAGUCAAUGACUGAGAUUAUUGGAAAACUCCCAUUCAUUGGGCUACCAAAGCUGAUUUGAUAGCAAAUGACAGCAACAACAAAUGUAAAAUUGAGCGAGUCUUUAGAAAAUGCCUAUUCAAAAAUUUUACCAGAAAACAUUGUGUCUAUGGCAACGUGCCUUCAAGUUACUUGUUAACUUGUGGAGACUCUAUGAAUUUCAUACAGUUUUCUCAGGCAAGAAUUAUUCAUAGAUGCUUUUUCCAGUUCCUUCCUCUGAAAUAUAGGUCUCUUUUACACUGCCCUAUAUGCCGGGAUCUGAUCCCAGAUUAUCUGUUUAUCUCAGAUUAUAUGGAAAUACUUACUCAUAUAAUCUAUUUCAAAGCAGAUAAUCUGGAAUCGGAUCCUGGGAUAUAGAGCAAUGUAGAUCCAGCCCUGGUCUAUAGCACUUGCUAUUCAUAGGCAAUCUCUAAAUCAAGUCCUAAUCAGGAUUGAACCUGUUUAGCUUCUGAGAUCAGACAAGUUCUGGUACCUUAGGAAAUUUAGUAGAUUGCGUUGUACAAAAGCCAAAGAGACUAUUUGUCUGUGUCUCCAGUGGAAUGAAUUCAUUUAUGUCUGAACACACUCUGCUGCAUAAAAAAAAAAAAAUAAAGGUUAUAAUAACACUUUGAGGAUUGCUAACAUUUGAGAAAUGGCUUGUGUUUUGGCAAAACUGAUGAGUAAGCAUCAUUCCAUGUGUAUUGUAAGACAUCCUGGGCAUGAAGUAUCAACAAUUUUAUUCUGAGUUGGCUAUGGGAAAAUGGACACCAAGCUAUAAACUAAAUAUAGAUCAUUCAUUAUUCAGUGGCAAAAUCUGACACAUUUUUCCUGGAGUCACAUUAAAUAUUUUGUUUGUCUCCAUUUUUAAAAGACAAUAUUUUUUAUCAGGAAAUAGCCAAGGUUUAAUUGAAAAGCCCUUAGAUAUUAUUACACUGGUAAAGAACAUUUUUCUCUAAAGGGCAGAAUGUAGCAGCUGUUAAGUCCUUUGUAGCAUAUUGAUUUCAGCAGAAAUCUAUGGGACUUAACCGUGCUUAACUUAGUUGAGGUUCCACCCAAAGUUUGCAAUGUAGUACUUUUUGAAAGACAUAAUUCUUUCAAGUCUGACCUAAAGU
rnacentral:lncRNA from 1 species